rnacentral:piRNA from 1 species
UAAAAGCUCUGACUGCCUUGAAGAU